ACACAAUUACCCUUGUUUUCUCAUCUAAAUCUUGUGUUAAAAAUAACUUACAUAAAAGUUUCUAACAAAAGCUUACGAGCCAAAAUCAAAUAUGUCUUAAUAAUAACGUUUAAUUUGCAACAAAUAUCAACUAGUCAUUAGCAUAAUGUGGAAUGUUUUAAAGUCAAAGCAAGGGAAGUUACCAUUAACCAUAUGCCACCACACCAUUUUAUAAUCACCUUAUAAUGUUACAGAACAUGUAUAUGCGGGUUAUAUGCACCACAUUUGUUCACAAUUUAAUACAACGUCAUGUAGUAGCUACACAGUGAACUUAAAAAGAAAACUCAUACAAAGGACAAAACAAAGCCUACCAUGAGUCGUUAUUGAAAACCCUUAUGCAUCCCAUUAGAUACAUACUCAAGACAAAGUAAACAAAAUCUGCAGAAAACACAUGGCUUGGUAACAAGGAAGAGCAGUUGAACAUUUAACAAUUCAUGUGAAUCAGGAUAUUCAACAUGAGAAGAAACAACAGCCAAACGAAAUCACAACCAAAUCAAAAACAAAAGAAACCAACGGAAUCUUGGACUGUGGGAUCACAGAGUUAUGCUUUUGUGUUGUUGUCGAAGUUGUUGAAAACGACGUUCAUGGGGGAGCUCGGUUUUGUAUUUGGUGAGCGAACGUGAUGCUUGUUGGUUAUUAUGCUGC
rnacentral:lncRNA from 1 species